AUUGAACGCUGGCGGCAUGCCUUACACAUGCAAGUCGAACGGUAACGCGGGGCAGCCUGGCGACGAGUGGCGAACGGGUGAGUAAUGCAUCGGAACGUGCCCAGUAGUGGGGGAUAGCCCGGCGAAAGCCGGAUUAAUACCGCAUACGACCUACGGGUGAAAGGGGGGGAUCGCAAGACCUCUCGCUAUUGGAGCGGCCGAUGUCAGAUUAGCUAGUUGGUGGGGUAAAAGCCUACCAAGGCGACGAUCUGUAGCUGGUCUGAGAGGACGACCAGCCACACUGGGACUGAGACACGGCCCAGACUCCUACGGGAGGCAGCAGUGGGGAAUUUUGGACAAUGGGCGAAAGCCUGAUCCAGCCAUGCCGCGUGCGGGAAGAAGGCCUUCGGGUUGUAAACCGCUUUUGUCAGGGAAGAAAUCUUCUGAGUUAAUACCUCGGGAGGAUGACGGUACCUGAAGAAUAAACACCGGCUAACUACGUGCCAGCAGCCGCCGUAA
rnacentral:rRNA from 1 species